UCCGUGGUGACGCGGAAUCUGAAGGAAGCGAGCGGCAAACUUAGGGUCUCUCGGAACACGAACUUCAUAGAAGGCUAGGUAACAUUGGAUGAGUCUGCAAAACAAGAUAAAGUCCAUACUGCCUUACCCAGGGAGGUCUGACGGACACGCCAACUGAGUUGGUAACCCAUCUAGCGAUGGAUGGCUGA
rfam:Bacillus smithii strain DSM 4216, complete genome.